AACGAACGCUGGCGGCAUGCCUAACACAUGCAAGUCGAACGAAGCCUUCGGGCUUAGUGGCGCACGGGUGCGUAACGCGUGGGAAUCUGCCCUUGGGUUCGGAAUAACAGUUAGAAAUGACUGCUAAUACCGGAUGAUGUCUUCGGACCAAAGAUUUAUCGCCCAAGGAUGAGCCCGCGUAGGAUUAGGUAGUUGGUGGGGUAAAGGCCUACCAAGCCGACGAUCCUUAGCUGGUCUGAGAGGAUGAUCAGCCACACUGGGACUGAGACACGGCCCAGACUCCUACGGGAGGCAGCAGGUGGGGAAUAUUGGACAAGUGGGGGCAACCCUGAUCCAGCAAUGCCGCGUGAGUGAUGAA
rnacentral:rRNA from 1 species